CAAAGGUUGAAUCCCGAGCUUCAAUCUUCGAAUUUCUUGUGUUCAUAGUGAGAUUGAGAUGUCAUCCAGCAAUGAGUCGUAUAGUUCGGUAACUUCACCGAACUAUAAUGGCUCAGUUUUUGGAUAUGGAGACUAUAUACAGCAUACGAUAGGGGAAGACCCCUAUGUACCCAGCUACACUCUGCUAGCUCCUGACGAUUCCUUCUCAUCAUCCAGCUCUCUUGUGUCUCUGGUAGAUGCUCAUCAGGCUCGGUGGGGCUACUACCCAAUAGAAGUCUAACCGGGUAGCGACCCCCUGGAAUUCAUUGUACAUUACCCAUAUCUCUGGGAUCCCACUCCUCCUGAGGGAGAAUGGUCUAUGGUCAUUGUCACCGAUCGCUCCUUGGAUCACCUUAAGUGGUUUGAGGGCGAAUGGCAUCUAGUUUGGGGAGAGUUUGAGAUCCCAGUGUAUCGUAUGAUCUGAUAGGUGGUGGAGGUCAUGUCGGGGUAGUCUAAAACUCUCUUUUUGUGUACAUAUUCUGCAGUAGUCUUAGUAGAUCAAUUGCCAAACUUGGCAUUGUGAUUAUGUAUAUAUAUCUAACUUAUGUUUUGGGGUUCUAAGGACGUCGUUAUCACACCUAUGAACCUAUAUAUAUAUAUAUGUGUGAAUGUUUGGAA